AACUUUCAACAACGGAUCUCUUGGUUCUGGCAUCGAUGAAGAACGCAGCGAAAUGCGAUAAGUAGUGUGAAUUGCAGAAUUCAGUGAAUCAUCGAAUCUUUGAACGCACAUUGCGCCCUUUGGUAUUCCAAAGGGCAUGCCUGUUCGAGCG
rnacentral:rRNA from 1 species